CACACACAGACAUUGGCUGAUACUGUUACUGGUGCCUGCUGCCUCUUCCAUGAAGCAUAACCUGAUUUCCCCCAGCUCGUUGAGUGACUCCUUCUGUAGUGGCAUGAAGCUCAUGGCUUCUUAUAUGGCAUCAUCAGUCUCUCUCAGGGUAACCAACACUGGGACUGUUCUGGUUUGAGCACAAAAAGCCUCAGAUCCCUGGAAACCCCUCAGCCCCAGGCAACCAGGAUGGCUAGUCACCCUACUCCCUCUGAAUGGCUAGCUCUUUUUUUUCUUUUUUUGAAGAUUUUAUGUAUUUAUUUUUGAGAGAGAGCGUAUGAGCGGUGGGGAGGGGUAGGGGGAGAGGGAGAAGCAGGCUCCUCGCUGAGCAGGGAGCCUGAUGCGGGGCUGGAUCCCAGGACCCUGAGAUCGUGACCUGAGCCCCCCCAGGCGCCCCAUGAACUGCUAGCUCCUGAAGACAAGGACCUGUCUUACUCAUCACCACACGCCCAGAAUGCUGCGUGACCAGGAUGUAGGUGGAAGUAAACCAGUGUCCAACUAAAGAAAAGAAGAAAGGAAAGAGGGAGGGAAGGAAGGAAGGAAGGAAGGAGCAAUACUAUUUUGAAAUAUCACUCGUGUUUUGUCUUCUUGGAAACUCAGAUUCUCCUCCCACCUCCUCGCUCCCUCGCAGGACCCUUGAACUUGAAGCUGAGGCCAUGAGGCUUUCGCUCCGGGGAAGCGAGGGCUGAUACUGCCUGGAACAAAGAAGUGUUGCUCUACUUUGAGUUUCGACUGGCCUUUAAAAAUAAAAACUCAUUGUGAGGUAAUGUUCUUGCAAGCCAGGCUCUCUGAAGAGAAAAGCUAUUUUCUCAGAACGCCUCCAGAGCCGGGUUUUAGAUCUCAGGAGCCGAAGCUGGGAGGACCCAUGGGAGGGUGAUCCGUAAGGCUCGACAUGGAGACCCCCACGGGAGCAAGAGGUGGGUGCAGAGUGGUGGAGAGAGGUGGCCAAGGGAAGAGGUCCGGUUAGCGGGCCCAGGGCGGCCCACCAGGCCCACCCUCUCUGGCAAGGUGCCCAGAGAGCAACGGAGAGUCUGCAGACUCCGGGAGGCCCAGCCGGGCUGGAGUCCUGAGGUGACCUGGUGGGGCGAGGGGGCCACUGGAGUGGGCCCUGGGGACCAGGACCAGUGAGCACGGCACAUCACUCAAGGA
rnacentral:lncRNA from 1 species